UCUCAUGUAGUUUAAAUUAAAACAUAAAUUUUGUAAAUUUUUAAUGGUAAGUUACCUAUGAGAU
rnacentral:tRNA from 1 species